rnacentral:rRNA from 1 species
GCCUAACGGCUGAACUGGCAACUUGGAGAAGUGGCAAGUCUUCCAGUAUGGGGAGCAAAACAGCUAUGGGUCAAGUCCGAUAUCUUUAGGAGAAGUCUUAUUGUGAGGGCGAGUUAUAUAACACCAUAGGACUGGCCGUCCCAUAUGAAAAGAUUAUAUUAGAAUUGAAUGAAGCUUUGUUUAUAUAUUGAUAAUGACAGUAUAUAUAUCGUGUCUUGACUAAUUGCGUGCCAGCAGUCGCGGUAAUACGUAAGAGACUAGUGUUAUUCAUCUUAAUUAGGUUUAAAGGGUACCCAGACGGUCAAUAUAGCUUAUAAAAUGUUAGUACUUGACUAGAGUUUUAUGUAAGAGGGCAGUACUUGAGGAGGAGAGAUGAAAUUUCGUGAUACCAAAGGGACUCUGUAAAGGCGAAGGCAGCCCUCUAUGUAAAAACUGACGUUGAAGGACGAAGGCACAGAGAACAAACAGGAUUAGAUACCCAAGUAGUCUUUGCAGUAAAUGAUGAAUGCCAUAGGUUAGAUAAUUCAAUGUAUCUUUAGUAUAAUUGUCUAAUAGGGUUAGUCUAGCAAACUAAUGACCAUUAGGCAGGCGACUAAAUAUCUUGUGAAUAUUUGGUCUAUAAAUGAAAGUGUAAGCAUUUCACCUCAAGAGUAAUGUGGCAACGCAGGAACUGAAAUCACUAGACCGUUUCUGACACCAGUAGUGAAGUAU